rnacentral:rRNA from 1 species
AACGCGAAGAACCUUACCUGGGCUUGACAUGUAGUAGACAGUAGUAGAAAUACUAUCUUCCCGCAAGGGACUAUUACACAGGUGCUGCAUGGCUGUCGUCAGCUCGUGCCGUGAGGUGUUGGGUUAAGUCCCGCAACGAGCGCAACCCUUGUCGUUAGUUGCCAGCGCGUAAUGGCGGGCACUCUAGCGAGACUGCCUAGGUUAACUAGGAGGAAGGUGAGGAUGACGUCAAGUCCGCAUGGCCUUUAUGCCCAGGGCUACACACGUGCUACAAUGGUCGGUACAGAAGGGAGCAAAACCGUGAGGUGAAGCAAAUCCUCAAAGCCGGCCCCAGUUCAGAUUGUAGUCUGCAACUCGACUACAUGAAGAUGGAAUUGCUAGUAAUGGCGAGUCAGCAACAUCGCCGUGAAUACGUUCCCGGGCCUUGUACACACCGUACGUC